ensembl:sense_intronic
AAUGGGCUAUAUGCACGCAUUACUUCCGCGUUUUGUCUAAGGCCGCGGUCCAGCUUCCGGUCUGGGUGAUUUUAAGCGGAGGUAAACAGUAUUAUGGCAGAGUCGUCAAUAUUUACUCGCUGUUUGCGAGUAAAUUAUGGUCAACGAUGUGCAAAUGAUUGUCCGGAUGUGCUCUACAACACCGCAGAGCAAAGCUUGAGAAGGGUUUCAAGUUGUAUGCAUCUUCCUACCUUUGCAAUUAUGAAGGUAACAUUAUGAGAUUCAGAGCUAGAAAAUUUUAUGUGUUACUCCAUCCUGGAGUGGACAUCCGUCAGAAGAUCCAUGCCAUCGUCUGCUAGUUAAUAGCUCCUGCUCUUGUGUGGCUGAGAGUGGGAUAUGCAAACAUUUGGUUGCUUUGCUUUUCCAGACAGCCCAUUACUCUGAAAUGUGUAAUGUGUGUUGUCACAUGAACAAUUGUUUGGAAUGGAUCAAUUAUGUGUAAAGUUCCAUGAAACAGAGGGGUGAUUUAUUUAUUUAUUUAAUAUGUAUAAGCCCAAAUACCUCUCUAUGCACAAGUUACAGAAGAAGCACCUGAUUGAAGAAAACAACUGAUUCAAUGUCAUUUUUUUUCUGUUCAUCUGAAUAAAAUAUUUUUUUCAAAA